UGUAGCUCAAUGGUAGAGUGCUUGACUAGCAUGUAGGAGGCCCUGGGUUCCAUUCCUAGCA
rnacentral:tRNA from 1 species